rnacentral:rRNA from 1 species
GACGAACGCUGGCGGCGUGCUUAACACAUGCAAGUCGUACGGUAAGGCCCUUUCCGGGCUACACGAGUGUCGAACGGGUGAGUAACACGUGAGUAACCUGCCCACAACUUUGGGAUAACGCUAGGAAACUGGUGCUAAUACUGGAUAUGUGCUCCUGUUGCAUGGGGGGGGUUGGAAAGCUCCGGCGGUUGUGGAUGGACUCGCGGCCUAUCAGCUUGUUGGUGGGGUAGUGGGCUACCAAGGCGGCGACGGGUAGCCGGCCUGCGUGGGUGACCGGCCACAUUGGGACUGAGAGACGGCCCAGACUGCUACGGGAGGCAGCAGUGGGGAAUAUUGCACAAUGGGCGCAAGCCUGAUGCAGCAACGCCGCGUGCGGGAUGACGGCCUUCGGGUUGUAAACCGCUUUCAGCAGGGACGAAGCUUUUUGUGACGGUACCUGCAGAAGAAGCACCGGCUAACUACGUG